UACUACCGAAGCUACGGCAUCAGUAAUGAUGGGUAGGGGAGCUUCCCAUACGGGUUGAAGCAUGACCGUAAGGACAUGUGGACAGUAUGGGAGUGAGAAUGUUGGCAUGAGUAGCGAGAUGUGGGUGGGAAUCCCACAGGCCGUAAACCCAAGGUUUCCAGGGGAAGGUUCGUCCGCCCUGGGUUAGUCGGGACCUAAGCUGAGGCCGAAAGGCGUAGGUGAUGGACAACAGGUUGAUAUUCCUGUACUACCGAUAACCGUUUGAGAGAAGGGAUGACACAGUAGGAUAAGCUAAGCACACUGUUGGUUAUGUGUGCCCAAGCAUUGAGGCAGUCAAAGUAGGCAAAUCCACUUUGAUAAUGCUGGGAUGUGAUGGGGAGCGAAAUUUAGUAGCGAAGUAGCUGAUUUCACACUGUCAAGAAAAGUCUCUAUCGAGGUUAAAGGUACCCGUACCGCAAACCGACACAGGUGGGUGAGGAGAGUAUCCUAAGGCCAGCGAGAGAACUGUUGUUAAGGAACUCGGCAAAAUGACCCCGUAACUUAGGGAUAAGGGGUGCCACCAUCAGGUGGCCGCAGAGAAUAGGCCCAAGCGACUGUUUACCAAAAACAUAGGUUUCUGCUAAGUCGCAAGACGAUGUAUAGGAGCUGACGCCUGCCCGGUGCUGGAAGGUUAAGGGGAUCUGUUAGAGCAAUCGAAGCAGUGAACUUAAGCCCCAGUAAACGGCGGCCGUAACUAUAACGGUCCUAAGGUAGCGAAAUUCCUUGUCGGGUAAGUUCCGACCCGCACGAAAGGCGUAACGAUUUGGGCACUGUCUCAACAACAGACUCGGUGAAAUUGUAAUUCCGGUGAAGAUGCCGGAUACCUGCGACAGGACGGAAAGACCCCAUGGAGCUUUACUGUAGCUUGACAUUGGGUCUUGGUACUACAUGUACAGGAUAGGUGGGAGGCUUUGAAACCAGGACGCCAGUUUUGGCGGAGCCAUCCUUGGGAUACCACCCUUGUAGUACUGGGACUCUAACCAUAGGCCAUGAAUCUGGUCUUGGGACACUGUCAGGUGGGCAGUUUGACUGGGGCGGUCGCCUCCCAAAAGG
rnacentral:rRNA from 1 species